GGUCGGGCACUCUAGGAGGACUGCCGGUGACAAACGGACGGAAGGUAGGGAGGUGACGUCAAGUCAUCAUGGCCCUUACGGCCUGGGCUACACACGUGCUACAAUGGUCGGUACAAAGGGUUGCCAAGCCGCGAGGUGGAGCUAAUCCCAUAAAACCGAUCGUAGUCCGGAUCGCAGUCUGCAACUCGACUGCGUGAAGUCGGAAUCGCUAGUAAUCGUGAAUCAGAAUGUCACGGUGAAUACGUUCCCGGGCCUU
rnacentral:rRNA from 1 species